AGCCCAGGACAUGCUCAUAAAUAACCAUCAGCACUACAAGAAAGACGUACCAAAUGUGAUUUGGAGGCGCAAGGUGCACAGGAAUGAAGGACAAAGGACAUCAAGGGCCCUGCUGGACUUGGAACCCAGGCCUGCUGGAGCAGAGAUCACAUCACAUUGCCAAGUUCAUUAUUCAGAUUCACAAUUGGGAUCACACAACUAAGGCACCUGCUGUCCUGUGUGGUGGCACACUUAACUUGGAGGCCAGCCUCUUACGUAAGGUGCAGAAAUCUACCAGGAUGACUCGAGGAAGACAAACCAACUUGGAAGCCCCAAAGGCAAUGGUUGCUCCAGCUCAUGCCAGCCUGUAAGAAUCAAUUGGGGCAUCUCUUCACAACACUGUGACAAAAGAUGGCAAGUUGGUAGCUUGAAACUGGCCCUGAUGGGAGUAUGUACAUCACGGAAAUUGGCAAAUGCUAGAAAUCAGGACCCCCCUCCAAAGCUAAUUACAUAUCUACCAUGAGACCACUGCCUAAAGAGCCAGGAUGUCCCUAUGUUGCCCAGGCUGGUCUCGAACUACUGGGCUCACACAAUCC
ensembl:lncRNA LARS2-AS1 LARS2 antisense RNA 1